AAGAUAGUUUAAAGGUAGAAUAAUGGUUUCCAAAACCAUUGGUGCAGGUUCGAGUCCUGCUCUUUU
rnacentral:tRNA from 1 species